rnacentral:rRNA from 1 species
UACGAAGGGUGCAAACGUUGCUCGGAAUUAUUGGGCGUAAAGAGCUCGUAGGCGGUUUGUUGCGUCGGCUGUGAAAUCCCGAGGCUCAACCUCGGGUCUGCAGUCGAUACGAGCAAACUAGAGUGUUGCAGGGGAGACUGGAAUUCCUGGUGUAGCGGUGAAAUGCGCAGAUAUCAGGAGGAACACCGGUGGCGAAGGCGGGUCUCUGGGCAACAACUGACGCUGAGGAGCGAAAGCGUGGGGAGCAAACAGG